rnacentral:rRNA from 1 species
AUUGAACGCUGGCGGCGUGCUUUACACAUGCAAGUCGAACGGCAGCAUGUCCUUCGGGACGAUGGCGAGUGGCGAACGGGUGAGUAAUGCAUCGGAACGUGCCUAUUAGUGGGGGAUAACUCAUCGAAAGAUGAGCUAAUACCGCAUAAUCUCUGAGGAGGAAAGAUGGGGACCCGAAGGGCCUGUCGCUGAUAGAGCGGCCGUAUGUCUGAUUAGCUAGUUGGUGAGGUAAAGGCUCACCAAGGCGAAGAUCAGUAGACUGUUCUGAGAGGAAGAUCAGCCACACUGGGACUGAGACACGGACCAGACUCCUACGGGAGCAGCAGUAAGGAAUAUUGGGUCAAAUGGAGGGCAAACUCUGAACCAGCCCUAAUG